UUUUUUGUAAUUCUAUUUAAAUUUUAUUUUAAUAAUUUAUAAAAAUAUAUUUUUUUAAAUAUUUGCGGGUAUCCGCGGAUAUCCGCGGGUUUUAAAAUAUUCGCGGAUUUUUUUUAGGCGGAUACCGGCGGGUAGCGGGUCGGGUUUCGGGUACAGUUUUAUCCGGCGGGUCGGGUUCGGAUAUCACACUAUCCGACCCGAACCCGACCCGUUCUCUUGUUUACAAUGGAUGGUUUUAGAAAUAAAUUUUUUAUGAAAAAUUGAUUAAAAUAAGUUAGACUUAUAUAUUUUAGUCUUAAUAUCAACUGGUUGACUUUUCCUCGUUUCUUCCAUCCUCCUAUUUGGACGCAUGUAUCUCCACAAAUUUUGUUUCAUUUUCCCUUCUCUCCAAAACUCCAAAGCUGAGGUGAACCUUCAAAUAACUUUUAUUCCUUGCUUUCAGUGCUUGGAUGUAAUGUUCAUUGGUGAGUACUUCACUUAUUUUCUUCUCCUUUCUUGGCUAACCCUCUCUAACCAUGUUUAAUGCUUUGAUUUUAGUCAAUGAAAAUCUUAGUUGGUGGUGCUAUACAUAUAUGUUGCUUCCAUUCGAGAAGACUGCUCCAAGAUUCUUUAUUUUCUCCAUCCAAAGGCUUCACAACUUGUUUGCUUCUUGGUUAAGGGAAGAUUUCCGAUUCUACAUGAAAAUAUUUUGUGUUGAAUAUGAGCAUAUAUAUGAUACUUUGCCUGAAGUUGCAUGAUUUGAUUCUCUCGUGAUUAUAUAUUUUUGCACUGAGUUUUGAAAGGCCAAACUAUUUUUCUCUAAAUUUUUUAUAUUUCUUAAUUCUAUGCUCUUUUUAUGAAUUUUAUUGAAUUUCUCUGGCUUAAAAUAAAUAUUUACUUUGCAAAAGUAUUGGCUGAAAGUCCAGUUUCCGCAAAUCUGAGAAACUUGAGAAGUUGUAUGGAAUGCAUUUAGUUACAAUUAAAAUUAAAACCUAAACAGUUAAUAAAAUUAAAAUUGUUUAUAUGAACAAUUGUACAUAGGCAUUUCAUUUUUUUUCUUACGU
rnacentral:lncRNA from 1 species